rnacentral:lncRNA from 1 species
UCCACCCAUUUAUUGGAAGAUAACCACCAUAAUUAUGUUGAACACUUGAUUGACUGUUCAAAAUAAUUUGGGCUGGCUGCUCAUAAGCACUUUGUCGUAACAUUCGGUCUACACGGUGAAGUACAAUCUAUUAGAUGUUGAGAUCAAAUGCAAUGCAUUAAUUUACAUAUCACAGAAAAUAACAUUCGAGAUAUAGCUUCAUCUAAUAGAUUGCCUCACGUCCAAUUUGGAUGAUUUGAAGGCCAAAAGCAAAUGUCCUAACCUUAGAAUAACUUGACAUACGUCGAUAGCCCAGUAAGGAGACCUCAUGUUGAUUAGGCAUGUGAGAGUGAGAUGAAUCCCUUGAUGUAUAAAAGAAUUAUUGACAUAUACAAUGGUUGAGCCCCAUGCACGGCAUAAAAGAAAGACUCGAGAGAGGC